UGUCCCGUGGCUCCAGCCCCGCUCAGCCCAAGGCUCGGGGAAACGAAGCAGCUCAAUAAAAACUUUGGAUAUUAGUUUUUAUGGGUAUUUGCACUCUGGUCCGAGGAGCUGAGUACGGAAGCCCCGUUAAUCAGCCCCACAACCUCGCGUUUGGAUGCUCAGUUUAU
rfam:Myotis brandtii contig187226, whole genome shotgun sequence.